GCAUAUCAAUAAGCGGAGGAAAAGAAAAUAACAAUGAUUCCCUUAGUAACUGCGAGUGAAGGGGGAUAAGCUCAAAUUUUAAAUCUGUUAGGUUCGCCUGACCGAGUUGUAAUUUGAAGAAGCGUUUUCUGGUCGUUUGACUUGGCCUAAAUCUUUUGGGAUAAAGUAUCAUGGAGGGUGAGAAUCCCGUCCGGCCAUGUCGGCUUCUUUACGAUACGCUUUCAAAGAGUCAAGUUGUUUGGGAAUGCAGCUUAAAAUGGGAGGUAAAUUUCUCCUAAGGCUAAAUAUUGGCGAGAGACCGAUAGCGAACAAGUACCGUGAGGGAAAGAUGAAAAGCACUUUGAAAAGAGAGUUAAAUAGUACGUGAAAUUGUUGAAAGGGAAACGAUUGAAGCCAGUCGUACCGACGGGAAAUCAACUUUUUGAGUGCGAUCUUGUUGGUGUUUUGGAGCUUAACCCCUUACAUUUUCAAGUUUGUUCUCUUGGGCGUACUUUCUCGUGUGGUUUGUUAACAUCAAUUUCGGUCAUUAUAAAAUGACUGGAGGAAUGUAGCUUCGAUCUCGAUUGAAGUGUUAUAGCCUCUGGUAGAUGUAAUGAUUGGGAUUGAGGAUUGCAACGAAUACCCUUUUGGGCUAACCGCCUGGUCUCUGAUCGUUGCCUUGGUGCCGAAAGCUUGCUUACGGUUAUUGAGGUUGAUGGUCAAAAGGCUAGAACGGAUUAAAUUCGUUAAGGAUGUUGACGUAAUGGCUUUAAACGAC
rnacentral:rRNA from 1 species